rnacentral:rRNA from 1 species
GAGACUCAAAGGAAUUGACGGGGGCCCGCACAAGCGGUGGAGCAUGUGGUUUUAAUUCGAUGAUACGCGAGGAACCCUUACCUAGGCUAGAAUGCGCGUGACCGGUCCAGAGAUGGACCUUUCCUUCGGGACACAAAGCAAGGUGCUGCAUGGCCGUCGUCAGCUCGUGCCGUGAGGUGUUGGGUUAAGUCCCGCAACGAGCGCAACCCCUAUCUUUAGUUGCCAGCACAUUAUGGUGGGGACUCUAAAGAGACUGCCUGCGCAAGCAGUGAGGAAGGUGGGGAUGACGUCAGGUCAUCAUGGCCCUUACGUCCAGGGCUACACACGUGCUACAAUGGCGUAUACAAAGUGUUGCAAGCUGGUGACAGUGAGCCAAUCACAAAAAGUACGUCUCAGUUCGGAUUGCAGGCUGCAACUCGCCUGCAUGAAGUUGGAUAUCGCUAGUAAUCG